UAAUUGACGGAACUUUACACGUUCACCACAUAUCCUGGAAUAGUUGCACGUUCACCAUAAACAAUACCCACAAUCAAUACCUCCAUCGCCGUAGAACAAAUCCUUAAUAGAUCUUUAUGGAUGAGAGACCGUCUCUUGGUAGAUGGCGUCUUGUCUGUUCUUACUUCUUGCUCCACCACCACCACCAGACCCGUUUAUACCCAGUGCAAAUAAUUCCAAAUGAUCUUCUCUUGGAUCCAUUGUUAUUAUUCUUCUCAAUUUUUUUUUCUAAUUUUCUUUUUGUUGAUACAUAUUCGAAAGUUGAAUCACGACCACCAUAUAGUCUGCAUUGGUAGACUGAGGAAUUCUGCUUCCUACCUAAGAACUCCAAACAUAAGGAAAAUGAAGACAAACCGGAGCUGCUAAUUCAAGAGGAAUUCGAAGAGUUUGGAGUUGGUAUUAAUGUGGAAAUGACGAAAAAAAGUUCAAGUUGUCUAUGGUUUUGAUGCAGUAUUUCUCCAUGGUUGGUUAGGGCACAUUUUUUUUGUUUUACAUAAGACAACAUUAUUAUCUCUGCAUAAUGUUUUAAGUGAGUACGUUGAAGAGAGAUCUGUAGCCAUUUGGGACAUCCUUUUAUUUAUAAAAAAUGCCAAAGUAAUUUACCAGGUUUUUUUUUUUUCACUAUCCAGAAGUGCUGGACUUAAUAUAAACCUUUGGAAUCCAAAGUACACUGUGUGUAUCUUCCAGAAACUGAGUACGAUAAUUUGAUAAUACCAAAUUAUUUAUUGCGAUC